UUAUAUCAGCGAGAAAGAAUCUUUCAAAUAAAAAAUAUACACUUACUUUAGCAGCGUUGCACGUGUCCAUACUGUUGGUGCCUCCAGUUGACGAACUACACUUCCUCCCCAGUUAGCUGACACACAGGUGUUUGGCGCGCAUUAGAUUGCUAAUUAGCACAGGUGGCUGCCUAUGUCUUCUUCUUUUCCGUAAACAAGCGCUGUAACAUCAAGAUAUGGCUGUGGGAACACUAACUAUUAAGUAAAUAGCCUCCAAGCAAGAACAUUUGGUAUCUGGACAUUGUUGUCGUCAAUUAUCCGCUGCACAUUCAGAACAAAACCCUCUAUCACAUCACCCUGUGGACACUUCCUGUCUGAAGCCUUCAUCUACAAAACGGCACCUCUGACCAUUGGCAUUAUGGCACCUCUCAUUGUGGCGAAGCCUCAGGAGGAGGUGGCUGUACGUCAUAAGAAGCAGAACUGAUUCAAAGCUGCAGAAAACUUUUGUUAUACAUUGUGCCAUUUUGCCCAGCAAUAGAGAGAGCUAUGGGAUAGUAUACUUCUUCUCUUGAAUAAUGAGUGGCCUAUUUACUAUACUGUAUGUACACAAAGACAAGUCCAAUAGCUUUAAACUUUUAAGAGGGGGUAUACAAUAACUGGAGUUUAUUUUGCAGGUCAUUUGUACCUGUCCUAUGUGAUUUGUACCUGUGCUAGAAUAUACUAGUUUGGCUACAGCUGUUUCACUCUUGCAUGGUCAAUUGAACAGGGAUUGUCGAUCAAUGUUUCAUCAUGUACAGUAAUUUACAUAAAUGUACAGUGAUGAUUUUAUGUAUAUUAAUAAUGGUUUGAUUAAUGUGUGGUAGGGUUGACUGGUUUUGGAAUUAUUUUAUGUAAAUGAACA